UCGCCUCCCUCCCUCCGGGGGAGGAAAUGUGGGGGCCCGGGCUGGGGACCGACUCGGCUGGGUCGCGCUGGCGGGGCCUCCCGGACCAGCGGCCCGCCCCGAGCGCUCUCAGCGGCCUCGCGCGGCUCAGGGCUCCACCACGUGGGCGGCUGUGGGGAGCGGCCGGGGCGCGUGCACGCUGCGGGGCUCCGAAGCUGGGGGGCGUGUCCGGGGCCCCGAGAAGGGGGUGGAGGCUGGGGCCGGGAAGCCUCCCUUGGCUGCGGUCCCGACCCGGGAACAGGCGGCAUGCACUCGGGAUCAGCGGCUACUGCGGAAACCCACCCGCACCUGUCUUGAGUCCUCCCGGGCACGUUCCUCUUGCUUCGUUUGCUACGAACUCCUGGAGAAUGGCAUGACUCCAAUAGCCAGAAUCAGAGCAAAUGAAUGGCAGUGGUGGGAGCCGAGUGGGCAGUGGUUCCCAAAGAAUAUGCAUUGCCGACUUAUUGGGAUCUUCGGUGGAGGUUCCCAAUGCAGACAAUCUUCGUAGAGCCUGUGAAAGUGCCCACGAGACAGUCAUCUUCAAAUAUCUUCCAGACCCGGAAAGCUCAAAACAUUCAGUCAGGUUUGGACUUUCCAAUACCCUUACUUCUCGCUUCACCUUCUUUAACCACUGUGGGAGGGAAGGAUGGAAAGAGAAGGGGUAGGUGUGGAGCAUGUCCGCUUCCCUGCCUUCCACGACUCCCCUGGGGCGGUCAUAUGAUUAAUUAUCCAAAGUAGGCAUUUUGAGGGUGAAAGUUGGCACUAAACAUAAAUAAAAUAUUAUUUUAAAAUAUAUGUUACACAAUCCUUUGUUGUAUUUUUAUAUAUGUGUGUGUGUGUGUGUGUGUGUGUGUGAUAUAUAUAUAUUUUUUUUUUUUUUUUUCUUUUGAGAUGGAGUUUCACUCUGUUACCCAGGCUGGAGUGCAGUGAUGCAAUCUCAGCUCACUGCAACCUCUGUCUCCCAAGUUCAAGCAAUUUUCCUGCUUCAGCCUCCCAAGUAGCUGGGAUUACAAGGAUGCUAAUUUUUUAAAUUAUUAUUAUUUAGUAGAGACCCAGCUAAUUUUUUUCUUUUUUUUUUUUUUUUUUUUUUGAGACGGAGUCUCGCUCUGUCGCCCAGGCUGCACUGCAGUGGCGCGAUCUCGGCUCACUGCAAGCUCCACCCCCCAGGUUCACGCCAUUCUCCUGCCUCAGCCUCCUGUGUAGCUGGGACUACAGGCGUCCGUCGCCACGCCCGGCUAAUUUUUUUUUUUUUUUGUAUUUUUAGUAGAGACGGGGUUUCACCUUGUUAGCCAGGAUGGUCUCGAUCUCCUGACCUCAUGAUCCGCCUGCCUCGGCCUCCCAAAGUGCUGGGAUUACAGGCGUGAGCCACCGCGCCCGGCCGCUAAUUUUGUUUUUAAUUUAUUUAGUAGAGACAGGGUUUCACCAUUUUGGUCAGGCUGGUCUCCAACUCCUGACCUCAAAUGAUCCACCCACCUCAGCCUCCCAAAGUGUUGGGAGUACAGGCGUGAGCCAUUGCGCCCAGCCUGUUGUAUUAUAUUGUAAAAAUAGUCCUAUUCAAAAAUAAUUUUUAAAACACAUUUCUUUAAAAAUAAAAAUAUCUCUGUACAUUAAAGAGAAAAAUGAAAUGCCUUUAUGAUGAUUAAUCUGAACAUUAAAAAACAUAAGCAUAGCUGGGUGUGGUGGCAGGCACCUGUAGUCUCAGCUACUUGGGAGGCUAAGGCAGGAGAAUCGCUUGUACCCGAGAGGCAGAAGUUGCAGUGAGCUGAGAUUGCACCACCGCACUCCAACCCGGGUGAGAGAGUGAGACUCUGUCUCAAAACAACAACAACAACAACAAAAAACACAUAAGCAGAAUUACAAAUCUUGUGCAUAUUCAUAUACUUUUUAUCAGUUUCUUAGCCUUAUUUGUUUAA
rnacentral:lncRNA from 10 species